UGCUUUUGCUCCCACUUCGAGUGACAGC
rnacentral:piRNA from 1 species